GGCGCGCGUGCCUGGGAGCGCCCGCGCUGCUAGCGCGGGCCGGGGCGCGGAGCGGGGUUGGGGUGAGGGUUCGGCCCCCGCGCGCAACAC
rnacentral:tRNA from 1 species